GACGCGGCCUUCACCGUUGGCGGUGGCAACCGCUGCGGAGGGGGAGACGAUGGCAGAGGCGGUGGCGGCGUUGAAGCAGUAAACAAACAGCGAUUACAGACAUUCCCAGAAUUAGAACAGAGGGUUUGAGAUAAAGGAUAAACCCCACAAUCACUACAAGAAGAUUGAACACAAGGACCAGGAAGAAUCUUGGGAAGAGAGAGUGAAGAAAGAC
rnacentral:misc_RNA from 1 species